AUUGAACGCUGGCGGCAGGCCUAACACAUGCAAGUCGAACGGUAGCACAGAGAGCUUGCUCUCGGGUGACGAGUGGCGGACGGGUGAGUAACGUCUGGGAAACUGCCCGAUGGAGGGGGAUAACUACUGGAAACGGUAGCUAAUACCGCAUAACGUCGCAAGACCAAAGUGGGGGACCUUCGGGCCUCACACCAUCGGAUGUGCCAGAUGGGAUUAGCUAGUAGGUGGGGUAAUGGCUCACCUAGGCGACGAUCCCUAGCUGGUCUGAGAGGAUGACCAGCGACACUGGAACUGAGACACGGUCCAGACUCCUACGGGAGGCAGCAGUGGGGGAUAUUGCACAAUGGGCGCAAGCCUGAUGCAGCCAUGCCGCGUGUAUGAAGAAGGCCUUCGGGUUGUAAAGUACUUUCAGCGGGGAGGAAGGCGGUGAAGUUAAUAACUUCACCGAUUGACGUUACCCGCAGAAGAAGCACCGGCUAACUCCGUGCCAGCCGCCGCCGUAA
rnacentral:rRNA from 1 species